CCGGGGGUGAGCCCGCGGUUAAUUUGCCACACACGGGAAAUUUCCCAGUCCCAGACAUAUAAAGGAUUGCAGAUGAUAGUCUUUCUGAUUCUAUGGUGGGGUGCCAUGCCUUUCUAGUUGGGGAGUGAUUGUCGGUUAAUUCCGAUAACGAACGAGACCUUAACCUGCUAACUAGAUUCUAUCAUCUUAUGAUUGUUAUCUUCUUAGGAGGGACUAUGUAAACCAAAUACAUGGAAGUUUGAGGCAAUAACAGGUCAGUGAUGCCCUUAUAUGUCCUGGGCUGCACGCGUUCUACACUGAUGUAUACAACGAGUGGCCUACCCCAGACAUGGCAUGGCAAAUAUGGAAUAUGCAUCGUGAUGGGGGGGGGGGGGGGGCAAUUAUAGAUCUUGAACGAGGAAUUCCUAGUAAGUGCAAGUCAUCAUCUUGCAUUGAUUAUGUCCAUGCCCUUUGUACACACCGCCCGUCGCUCCUACCGAUACCGGGUGAUCCGGUGAACCUUUUGGACCUGUAUGGGGAAGAUAAGUAAACCAUAUCACCUAGAGGAACUAGAAGUCGUAACAAGGUUUCCGUAGGGAACCUGCAGAAGGAUCAUAAUCGGAUCCCGGGCCCGUCUCACAGAGGCCUGCAGCAAGCCCCCCAUAUGAGUCGUAUAGAGCCUUGCCGUAUCUU
rnacentral:rRNA from 1 species